rnacentral:rRNA from 1 species
CCUACGUGUGGCAGCAGUGAGGAAUAUUUGUCAAUGGACGCGAGUCUGAACCAGCCCAGUCGCGUGAAGGAUGACUGCCCUCUGGGUUGUAAACUUCUUUUAUGAGGGCAUAAAACGAGUCACGUGUGCCUUUUUGCAUGUACUUUAUGAAUAAGGAUCGGCUAACUCCGUGCCAGCAGCCGAGGUAAUACGGAGGAUCCGAGCGUUAUCCGGAUUUAUUGGGUUUAAAGGGAGCGUAGAUGGGUGGUUAAGUCAGGUGUGAAAGUUUGCGGCUCAACCGUAAAAUUGCAAUUGAUACUGGCAGUCUUGAGUACAGUUGAGGGAGGCGGAAUUCGUGGUGUAGCGGUGAAAUGCUUAGAUAUCGCGAAGAACCCCGAUUGCGAAGGCAGCUUACUAAACUGUGACUGACAUUGAUGCUCGAAAGUGUGGGUAUCAAACAGGAUUAGAUACCCGAGUAGUC